UACAGAGGUCUCAAGCGUUGUUCGGAAUUACUGGGCGUAAAGCGCGCGCAGGCGGUUUCUCAAGUCAGUGGUGAAAGCCCGGAGCUCAACUCCGGAACUGCCAUUGAAACUGUGAAACUUGAGGACGAGAGAGGUGAGUGGAAUUCCCAGUGUAGAGGUGAAAUUCGUAGAUAUUGGGAAGAACACCGGUGGCGAAGGCGGCUCACUGGCUCGUUUCUGACGCUCAGGCGCGACAGCGUGGGGAUCAAACAGG
rnacentral:rRNA from 1 species